rnacentral:rRNA from 1 species
GAUGAACGCUGGCGGCGUGCCUAAUACAUGCAAGUCGAGCGAAUGGAUUAAGAGCUUGCUCUUAUGAAGUUAGCGGCGGACGGGUGAGUAACACGUGGGUAACCUGCCCAUAAGACUGGGAUAACUCCGGGAAACCGGGGCUAAUACCGGAUAACAUUUUGAACCGCAUGGUUCGAAAUUGAAAGGCGGCUUCGGCUGUCACUUAUGGAUGGACCCGCGUCGCAUUAGCUAGUUGGUGAGGUAACGGCUCACCAAGGCAACGAUGCGUAGCCGCCCUGAGAGGGUGAUCGGCCACACUGGUACUGAGACACGGCCCAGACUCCUACGGGAGGCAGCAGUAGGGGAUCUUCCGCAAUGGACGAAAGUCUGACGGAGCAACGCCGCGUGAGUGAUGAAGGCUUUCGGGUCGUAACACUCUGUUGUUAGGGAAGAACAAGUGCUAGUUGAAUAAGCUGGCACCUUGACGGUACCUAACCAGAAAGCCACGGCUAACUACGUGCCAGCAGCCGCAGUAA